rnacentral:rRNA from 1 species
GACACGCUGGCGGCGUGGAUUAGGCAUGCAAGUCGAACGGUAUCAUCCUUUCGGGGGUGAGAGAGUGGCGAACUGGUGAGUAACACGUAGGUUAUCUACCCUCAAGACGGGGACAACCCAGGGAAACUUGGGCUAAUACCGGAUGUGAGCAACUUUUAGUGUUUGAAAGGUGGCGUAAGCUGUCGCUUGGGGAUGAGCCUGCGUCCUAUUAGUUAGUUGGUGAGGUAACGGCUCACCUAGGCAAUGAUAGGUAGGCGGCCUUAACGGGUGGUCGCCCACACUGGGAUUGAGAUACGGCCCAGACUCCUACGGGAGGCAGCAGUCGAGAAUAGUCUACAAUGGUCGGAAGACUGAUAGUGCGACGCCGCGUGAACGAUGAAUCCCUUCGGGGUGUAAAGUUCUUUUAUAUGUGAGCAGUGCUUCUUAUAUUAACAGUAUGGGGAGAGAGAUAUUAGCAUAUGAAUAAGCGACGGCUAACUCCGUG